GACGAACGCUGGCGGCGUGCUUAACACAUGCAAGUCGAACGGAAAGGCCCUGCUCUUGUGGGGUGCUCGAGUGGCGAACGGGUGAGUAACACGUGAGUAACCUGCCCUUGACUUUGGGAUAACUUCAGGAAACUGGGGCUAAUACCGGAUAGGAGCUCCUGCUGCAUGGUGGGGGUUGGAAAGUUUCGGCGGUUGGGGAUGGACUCGCGGCUUAUCAGCUUGUUGGUGGGGUAGUGGCUUACCAAGGCUUUGACGGGUAGCCGGCCUGAGAGGGUGACCGGCCCCAUUGGGACUGAGAUACGGCCCAGACGCCUACGGGAGGCAGCAGUGGGGAAUAUUGCACAAUGGGCGGAAGCCUGAUGCAGCAACGCCGCGUGCGGGAUGACGGCCUUCGGGUUGUAAACCGCUUUCGCCUGUGACGAAGCGUGAGUGACGGUAAUGGGUAAAGAAGCACCGGCUAACUACGUG
rnacentral:rRNA from 1 species